rfam:Microgenomates (Collierbacteria) bacterium GW2011_GWA2_42_17 TV06_C0015, whole genome shotgun sequence.
GCCGAGGUGGUGAAAUGGUAGACACGAUAGGUUUAGGACCUAUUGCCCUUAAAAGCGUGGAGGUUCAAGUCCUCUCCUCGGCA